rfam:Salmo salar isolate Sally breed double haploid chromosome ssa16, whole genome shotgun sequence.
UGGCUCAGUUGGUUGAGCAUGGUGUUUGCAACGCCAGCAUGGUCUGUGCAACGCCAGGGUUGUGGGUUCGAUUCCCAC